rnacentral:lncRNA from 1 species
ACUAAUGAUUUUAAACAUUUGAUAUAUUUGUGUCUGUAUAUAUCCUUGUCCAAUUUUCUUGAAGUACCAUGAUGAGAGUCAAUUUGUGAUUUCAGUCUUGGCUUUGCUAUUUAUAAGCUAUACAAUGGACUUCUCUUUACUAUAACACGAGUACCACUUGAAAACAACUGUAACAGGAGUUCCCGUCAUGGCACAAUGAAACAAAUACGACUAGAAACCAUGAAGUUGCAGGUUUGAUCCCUGGCCUCGCUCAGUGGGUUAAAGAUCGGGCAUUGCCGUGAGCUGUGGUGUAAGUCACAGAUAUGUGUGGAUCUGACUGGUCCCUAUCCGGGGACCCUCCAUAUGUCAUGCGUGCGGCCCUAAAAAUAAAAUACAAUAAAAUAAAAUAAUAAAUAUAAAAAAAAAUUCUAAAAUGCUCCCAUUAGGUAAGGAAUUCUGGGGACAAGACCAAGUAAAGACUAGUAGUUGGAGUAGCAAGGUAGGCACUUAAGUUGUCUUUUAUCCUACGAAUAUUUGGUGAAUUGGUUGAACUUGAAUAUUAAUUUUUGUUAAACGGUAACUUCAAUAUAGUUGAAGUGAUAAUUAGAGAAAUCUCAUAGAGAAAUAAAUAAAUUAUGUCAAACGUAGUCCUGAGAGGUAAAGAGGCAUAGAAAAUAUUGUGAAAUGAUCUCCUAUACGUCUGAAUUAGAGCACUAACAGAGAGAGAAAGAGGUAGAGGCUACACUGAAAGAGUAAAUACCAGAAAAAGUAAAGAUAUCAAAAGUAAACAGAAAAACAGAUUAAUUACAUUCAAAGGACUGACAGACCAAUUAUUAAACUUUUGAAGAAAUAGCAGAAUCCACAAGACAGUAAAAUGAUAUAUUGUAUUGGCUAAAAAGAAAUUAACCUAGUAAACUAGAAUUCUAUAACCAACAAAUUCUUCUAACUAUGAGAGUGCAACACAAUCAUUUAAAAUAAAGACCGAGAGGGUUUAUCACUCUAAUACCCUCAGUGAAUAUAAUUUUAAUCAAAAGGAAAAUAAUACCAGAUGGAAACUUUGAAAUGCAUAGGGCAUGAUGAGAGGGAGCAAAGUGGUAAAUAUAAAACAAUAUCAUUAUAAAACAUAUUUAUUUCAUACUGACUUAAAAACAUAUACAUUGGGAAAAGGUAAGCAGAGUUAAAAUAUUCUAUUCUAAGACCUUUUUUGUUUGGGUAGAGAGUAAAAUUAUGUAAAUAAUAUAAAAGUAUACAUAACAUUUCUAGGGUAAGCAAGUAAAAAUAGAGUAUGACAUCCAGUCUCAUAGGGAAAAAAUGAAUGAGAAAAAAUAAUGAGGAAUAUAAAAAGAAAUCAAUGAAUAAAAGAAAAAGAAAGAAAUAAUAGGAAAAUAAAAUGGUAGAAAUAAACCCAAAUAUAAUCAGUAACUAUGAUAAAUGUAAAUGGGCUGUAUAUUCCAAUUAAAAGAUAAAAAUUAUCAGACUACAUUAAAAAAUUUUAACUAUUGUUCUCUUUUAAAAAGAUACAUACAUAACAGAAAGCAGAAAAAGAUAUCAAUGCAAACAUUACUGAAUAAAAAAAUCAGAAAAAAAGCAUUAUUGGAAAUAAAGAGGAUCAUUGCUAAAUGAUAAAAAGUUUACAUCUUCAAGAAAACAUAAGAGUUCCUGUCUUGGUGCAGUGGAAAUCAAUCUGACUAGGAACCAUGAGGUUGCGGGUUCAAUCCCUGGCCUCGCUCAGUGGGUUAAGGAUCCGGCAUUGCCGUGAGCUGAGGUGUAGUUCUCAGACACAGCUCUGAUCUGGCGUUGCUGUGGCUGUGGGAUUGGCUCCGAGCUCCAAUUAGACCCCUAGCCUGGGAACCUCCAUAUGCUGUGGGUGUGGCCAAAAACAAAAACACACACACACACACACACACACAAAACCCCAGACAAAAGACAAAGAAAAAAAAGAAAAUAUAACAACAAACAUACACAACUAACAGCCUCAAAAUACAUAAAGCAAAACAUAACAAGGAAAACUAAAUAAAUAAUGCAACAUGGGAGCUUUAUACUGUAGCUUAGUAACUGAAAGGUCAAGAAGACAAUGUCAUAAGAACAUAAAAGAUUUGAACAAUUACCCUAAUCUAAUGAAUAUAUACAUAAAAUGGCACUGAGAGUUGUAAAAUACACACUAUUUUCAAGUACGUUUCCAAAACAGAACAUUUCACAAACUAAUCACACACUUAGGUCACAAAAGUAAAGCUCAGCAACUAAAAUAAUUGAUAUUAUACAAACCACAUUUUUUAACGAGAUUAAUUUAUUUAUGAAUUUAUUUAUGAAGUAAUCUAUAAAUUUAUUUAUGAAUUUAAUAAGAAAAAGAUAACUAGAAAUAAUCAAAUUGUUUUGAAAAUAAGCAUACUUCUAAAAAACUCGAAAUGGAAAUUGUAACUAAAUAUUCAGAACUUAAUAACAACCAAUAUCUAACAUGAAAAUUUGUGGUAUACACCAAAGUCAAUAAUUGAAGAGAAUUUUAUAACCUUAAAUGCCUACUAUGGUCAAGAAUGAAAAUUAGUGAUUUAAAAAUCCAAUAAAAUAGUUUUUAUAAGAGAAAUAAAAUAAACAAACAAAAAUCCAGGAGUCAAAAGAAAGCAGAGAACAAGAAAUAAUUAAAAUAAGAAAAGAAAGUAAUGAAAUAGAAAAUAAAGAUAAAAUAGAGGUGACAGGAGGGCUAAAAGUUGACUCUCUGAAAAGCAUAAUAAAACUUCAAACCUCUGGAGAGAUUUAGCAAAAAGCUGUAAUGAAGGAAGGAAGGAAGGAAAAAGAGGAGGGAGAGAGGAAGAGGAGGAAGGCAAACAAAAAGAAAUAAGCUAACAUGGGAAACUACAUAACCACAGAUACUACAGACAUUAAAAUAAUAGGAGUGUAUUAAAAGAGCUCUAAUCCAAUAAAUUUGAAGACAGAUGAAAUGAACACAUUUCUAGAAAAAAUACAGCUUACACCGAUUCAAGAUUAAAUAGAAAAAUCUGAACAAUACUAUUAAAGAAAUUGAAUCGAAGUAAAAACUUUCUCGCAAAUAAAAUUCCAGGUCUAGCUACACAUUCCAAGGUGUUAUUUAACCUCUAUGAUUCUUAGUUAACCUGUUUAUAAUAUCUCAUUUUAUUAUCUUAUAAGUAUUACACUUUCUCACAGCAAUUUAAUUUGAGGAUUAUAUAAAAAAAGUACAAAGGUAAUCUGUGAAUUUUCAAGUGAUACAAAACUAUAAAUACUGUUCCCCCAAUUUUAGAUUAAAAUAAGAAGCCCAUAACUUUAAAAACAGACACAUUCCAAAAAAAUCAAUCACAAAGACAAAUUUUCUCCAUAAGGCAAAUCUUAUCUUGCUAUAGCAUCCACUAAAUAACUAAUGACACGUUCUUUGGGAGGAAAAUUGGCCACAAAAUUAUAUAACUGCAGAUUAAGAAUGCUGAAAAAUUUAACUUUUUUUUCUUUUUUUAAUGGCUUCACCCAUGGCAUAUGGAAGUUCCUAGACCAGGAUUGAAUCCUAGGCACAGCUAUGCCAAUGCCAGAUCCUUUAAUGCACUGUGCCGGGCUGGGGAUCGAACUCAUAUCUCCUCAGUGUCCUAAGCCGCGCUCGGAUUCUUAACCCACUGUGCCACACCAGUAACUCCAGACUAACUUUUUAAAAAGUCAAUAUUGUGUGUUAAAGACUUACUGGCAAAGUUAUAAAAUUUAAUUUAAAUAGUAACUAUUUUUUGUUUAGUGCAAUAGGUUAAAGAUCUAAAGAAUGAAAAUAAUAUUGCAGAAUGGGAUGAAGAAGCAUAAUAACAAGACAAUGUUUCAUGAGUAAUGAGUUGAUGCUUUUUACCUGUGAAUCCUAAUGUGCAACUCAUAAAAUACUGGUAAAUAUAUUCAUAUUCAC